rnacentral:rRNA from 1 species
GGACUACCCGGGUUUCUAAUCCUGUUUGAUCCCCGCACUUUCGAGCCUCAGUGUCAGUUAUAGUUUUGUGAGCUGCCUUCGCAAUCGGUGUUCUAUGACAUCUCUAAGUAUUUCACCACUACAUGUCAUAUUCCGCCCACAGCAACUAUACUCAAGCCCUACAGUAUCAAUGGCAAUUCCAGAGUUAAGCUCUAGUCUUUCACCGCUGACUUAUAAGGCCACCUACGCUCCCUUUAAACCCAAUAAAUCCGGAUAACGCUUGCAUCCUUCGUCUUACCGCGGCUGCUGGCAC